UACGUAGGGGGCAAGCGUUGUCCGGAUUUAUUGGGCGUAAAGCGCUCGCAGGUGGUUCGUCGCGUCGUGCGUGAAAGACCCCGGCUCAACUGGGGAGUGUCGUGCGAUACGGGCGGACUGGAGGCCAGUAGGGGGAUGCGGAAUUCCGGGUGUAGUGGUGGAAUGCGUAGAGAUCCGGAGGAACACCAGCGGCGAAGGCGGCAGCCUGGACUGGUCCUGACACUCAUGAGCGAAAGCGUGGGGAGCGAUCCGG
rnacentral:rRNA from 1 species